rnacentral:misc_RNA from 1 species
UCUCCGUUGGUGAACCAGCGGAGGGAUCAUUACCGAGUGCAAACUCAUAACCCUUUGUGAACCUUUACCUGUUGCUUCGGCGGCUCGCUCUCGGGCGAGCCCGCCGGUAAUAUCAGUAUCUCUGUUUGAACCCGACGAUACUUCUGAGUGUUCUUAGCGAACAGUUAAAACUUUUAACAACGGAUCUCUUGGCUCUA